rnacentral:rRNA from 1 species
UACGUAGGGUGCAAGCGUUAAUCGGAAUUACUGGGCGUAAAGCGUGCGCAGGCGGCUUUGCAAGACAGAUGUGAAAUCCCCGGGCUUAACCUGGGAACUGCAUUUGUGACUGCAUGGCUGGAGUGCGGCAGAGGGGGAUGGAAUUCCGCGUGUAGCAGUGAAAUGCGUAGAUAUGCGGAGGAACACCGAUGGCGAAGGCAAUCCCCUGGGCCUGCACUGACGCUCAUGCACGAAAGCGUGGAGAGCAAACAGG